rnacentral:rRNA from 1 species
GAUGAACGCUGGCGGCGUGCUCAACACAUGCAAGUCGAACGGAAAGGCCCAAGGUUGCUUGGGUGCUCGAGUGGCGAACGGGUGAGUAACACGUGGGUGAUCUGCCCUGCACUUCGGGAUAAGCCUGGGUAACUGGGGCUAAUACCGGCUAGGAACCCAUUUUGGAUGGUGUGGUGGAAAGAGUUUGGGCGGGGGAUGAGCUCGCGGCCUAUCAGCGGGUUGGUGGGGUACUGGCCUACCAAGGCGUCGCCGGGUAGCCGGCCUGAGAGGGUGUACGGCCACAUUGGGACUGAGAUACGGCCCAGACUCCUACGGGAGGCAGCAGUGGGGAAUAUUGCACAAUGGGCGCAAGCCUGAUGCAGCGACGCCGCGUGGGGGAUGACGGCCUUCGGGUUGUAAACUCCUUUCGCUAGGGACGAAGCGCAAGUGACGGUACCUGGAGAAGAAGCACCGGCUAACUACGUG